UCUCUUUAAUUUUGCCUCGACCGCUCUUAUUUAUGAAAGAGUUAAAGAGGCCACACGCCAAAUUGUUAAGGCUUAUUACAUUCAUAUAGGCUAUAAAAUACAACGGCUUCAUUAGUGGGGCUGUGGUGAUACAGUAAUAAUCUUGGCUACAAAGC
rnacentral:sRNA from 1 species